AUUGAACGCUGGCGGCAGGCCUAACACAUGCAAGUCGAGCGAGCGGCGGACGGGUGAGUAAUGUCUGGGAAACUGCCUGAUGGAGGGGGAUAACUACUGGAAACGGUCGCUAAUACCGCAUACCAUCAGAUGUGCCCAGAGGGGAUUAGCUAGUAGGUGGGGUAACGGCCAACCAAGGCGACGAUCCCUAGCUGGUCUGAGAGGAUGACCAGCCACACAGGUACUGAGACACGGUCCAGACUCCUACGGGAGGCAGCAGUGGGGAAUAUUGCGCAAUGGGCGCAAGCCUGAUGCAGCCAUGCCGCGUGUAUGAAGAAGGCCUUCGGGUUGUAAAGUUCUUUCAGCGGGGAGGCGUUACCCGCAGAAGAAGCACCGGCUAACGCCGUGCCAGCAGCCGCGGUAAUUC
rnacentral:rRNA from 1 species